rnacentral:other from 1 species
AAAGUCCUGAUGUGUACGUCGUACACCUUGUUUUGACCGAACAACUUUAAAAAUGGGAGUCCGGAGUUUUCAAGUGUAGUAAAUGCCUCACAUUCGAAUAGAGGACUUACAAAGCUUGAAGCAGGACACCCACCUGCUGAGAGCGGGAUCAAAACGAAGGAAAUGGCGACGGCACAAUUGGGACUUCU